rnacentral:rRNA from 1 species
UACGAGGGGUGCAAGCGUUGUUCGGAAUUACUGGGCGUAAAGCGUGCGGAGGCGGCUUGUUAAGUCUGAUGUGAAAGCCCUGGGCUUAACCCAGGAACUGCAACGGAAACUAGCAGGCUAGAGUUCGGGAGAGGGUCGUGGAAUUCUUGGUGUAGAGGUGAAAUUCGUAGAUAUCAAGAGGAACACCGGUGGCGAAGGCGGCGACCUGGACCGACACUGACGCUAAUACACGAAAGCGUGGGGAGCGAACAGG